rnacentral:rRNA from 1 species
UGGGGAAUAUUGCACAAUGGGCGAAAGCCUGAUGCAGCGACGCCGCGUGAGGGAUGACGGCCUUCGGGUUGUAAACCUCUUUCAGCAGGGAAGAAGCGAAAGUGACGGUACCUGCAGAAGAAGCGCCGGCUAACUACGUGCCAGCAGCCGCGGUAAUACGUAGGGCGCAAGCGUUGUCCGGAAUUAUUGGGCGUAAAGAGCUCGUAGGCGGUUAGUCGCGUCUGCUGUGAAAACUCGAGGCUCAACCUCGGGCUUGCAGUGGGUACGGGCUGACUAGAGUGCGGUAGGGGUGACUGGAAUUCCUGGUGUAGCGGUGGAAUGCGCAGAUAUCAGGAGGAACACCGAUGGCGAAGGCAGGUCACUGGGCCGCAACUGACGCUGAGGAGCGAAAGCAUGGGGAGCGAACAGGAUUAGAUACCCUGGUAGUCCAUGCCGUAAACGUUGGGCACUAGGUGUGGGGUCCAUUUCCACGGAUUCCGUGCCGCAGCAAACGCAUUAAGUGCCCCGCCUGGGGAGUACGGCCGCAAGGCUAAAACUUAAAUGAAUUGACGGGGUCAUAGCUGUUUCC